GUCAGGUCUCAAAGGCGAUUUUUCCUCAUUUAAAAGAGUCUCAAAGACUUCUUCAGCUUCCUUAAACUUGUUUCCCUCAACAAAUAUUUUUAGUAUUAUUUGAUACGUUACAGCAGAAGGCUUAGGGCCAGACAAUUGCAUCCUCCGAAAAAUGGCUUCAGCAUUAUUAUAUCGAGCUCCUCUUCCAUAGGCCUCCAUAAGGGCAGUAUGGGACACAACAUUCGGCACAUAACCCAUCUUAUUCAUAUAGCUCAAGACCUUCUCAGCCUCGUUGAAGUUCCCUAGCUUUCCAUGAGCUGUUAUAAGCAUCAGAGAAUCCAUUUCAUUGAAGUCCCACCAAUGCUGAGUCCGAAGCCAUUCCAAAAUCUCAGCAACAAGAUUCCAUUUCUUUAGCUGCUUAAAUCUAACCAAAGUACCCAAAACGAGGUCUUUAGGAAGAGCAUGAUUCUGGGUCCUCUUGCUUUUGAGAACUGAAACAGCAGAACCCG
rnacentral:misc_RNA from 1 species